GUGCGGCCCCGCCCGGCCCCGACAGGGCCUCCCCGGCUCCUGCCAGCCCCGGGGGCACGGGGGGGAGGGGGGGGAGCGGGGCAGGGCCCCCCGGCGCGCUGCGUGCCCGUGAGGCGCUGCCCCGGCCCCUGUUCCCGUGCCGUGUCCGCGCUGUGCCGGCCCCGCGCCCCCCUCCUCGCUCCCAGGCGCUGCCCUGGGCUCGCCCCUCAGGGCCGCUGCGUUCCGGGAGCACCGGCCCAGCCCCGCAGCCUCCCUUCAGGACGCGGUACUGCCGCUGUCCCGCCAAGCCGCCUGCCUUCUGCUCCUGCUCCCUCUAAACAAUCACAUUCUUAUUACCCAGCCCCGCUCGGGUGUCCGCAGCUUCUUCUCGCAGCAGCCUCGGUGCCGGUUGCUUUGCCCUUCCCUUGCCGGGAGGGCUGGGAGCUCAGCUUCUGUUGGAGCCACUUCCCAGUCUCGCUCUAACUGCAGCUCCGGAUUUUCAUUGUCUUAACCGAAGCCAUCACCAUAAUCUGAGUGGCUAUGGGCCAUUGACAAGGUCUGCUAACCACUGCCUCAAAGAAAAAAAUUUCUAAGCCAUGUGAAUCUUCUUUCUAGCCUUUAGUUUCCAUCAGUGGCCCCUUUCCAGCCCCUCAAGUGUAGCUCUAGGAUUUAUUUUCCUUCCAGUCUUAAGCUGAAUACCCCGCAUACCUUUGAAACAAGAGAAAAGUUAUCUCUGUCUGUGUCUUCAAUACAGUUCUCCAGCAAUUGCCCUGUCAAUAACCAUCGCAGCGCAGUUUCUAGGAAAUUCCUUUGCUGCUUCCUAUGAAAUCCCUUUGCUUUCGAAGAAAAUGUUUGCGUAAAUAAAAGUAUUGGUAAACCCUUGUGAGAUUUUCAUUUACAGAAAAUUCAGAAGGGAAAUGUUUACAUGAGUGCAUGUAAUUGGUAGCAGGUUAUGAACAUGCUUGGUCUUCAAGCCAACUCAACAGGUUGUUGAUAAGAAAACGUGUCCUUGUAAGACUGAGAUCUGGAUGAGUGAUAGCAGAGGCCUAGGUCUCUUUUCUUCCCCUCUUUCAAUGUGUGGUUUUGUGAGGCUUUAUCCGCUUUCUCAAAUACCGGUACGCUGGAUCUGUGCAAAUACAGACUGAUGUUUUCAUUUCUUAACAAUCCCGAAGAUCUUACCAAUGUUUUUUCUCCUUCUGCCAGCCAGUGCAGGAAUAGCGAUUUAGAAAAGCAAACAAACGUGACCCAGGAGGAGUUCUGCAUGCGGUGUACAACUCCAGUUGAGGACCUUUGUACAGCUUUGGGUGCUGCAUGCAGCACUGCUUUGUUCUCAGCUCGUUGCCCUCUGUGCUUAGCCCCUUGGGACUGAAGUUUCUACAUGUUUUAUUGUGUAGUUUGUUUCUCUAAAGAAGUCUACUUGGGAUCUUUUAACACAUGCCCAGGAAUCACAGCAGAGAGAUUCCUUUAGUUGCUCUCUGUUGGUUUCAUGUACUGCUGUUAGAGC
rnacentral:lncRNA from 1 species